AAUUUUUAUUGGGAAAUGAUAUAUAGCAGUUAUAUCUUAGAAUUUACAGGAAAAGAAAUUAUUAUUUAAUAAUAGACUCUUUAGAUUUUAUAUAUUAUGUCCAUUAUGGUUUGUUGAUGCUAAAAACCAUCAUGGUGUGCUAUUCCUGUUGUAUGCCAAUUAUAUCUGAUGAGGCCAGCCACACUAGAGGAAGAGAUAGACAAGCUAGACUUAGAUCCUUAAAUAAUUUCUCCAAAAUAGGAACCAGAGGACUUUUUACUUUUCAAUCAGAGGAUUUUUUAAUGCCAGAUUCUCUGGUUGACAAGUUGAAACAUUUUCAUGCAGUGAAUCUGACCAAUUAACCUAUUGCAAUAUGAACAAGUUAACUCUGACCUAUUCUAUUAUUAUUUUAGUAUGCUCU
rnacentral:lncRNA from 1 species